rnacentral:rRNA from 1 species
UACGUAGGUGGCAAGCGUUAUCCGGAAUUAUUGGGCGUAAAGGGCGCGUAGGCGGCCCACUAAGUCAGACGUGAAAUCCCCCGGCUUAACCUGGGAACUGCGUCUGAUACUGGAGGCUUGAGUAUGGGAGAGGGAUGUAGAAUUCCAGGUGUAGCGGUGAAAUGCGUAGAUAUCUGGAGGAAUACCGGUGGCGAAGGCGGUCUGCUGGGCAGUUGCUGACACUGAGGCGCGACACGUGGGAGCAACAGG